GAUGAACGCUGGCGGCGUGCCUAAUACAUGCAAGUCGAGCGAACGGACGAGAAGCUUGCUUCUCUGAUGUUAGCGGCGGACGGGUGAGUAACACGUGGAUAACCUACCUAUAAGACUGGGAUAACUUCGGGAAACCGGAGCUAAUACCGGAUAAUAUUUUGAACCGCAUGGUUCAAAAGUGAAAGACGGUCUUGCUGUCACUUAUAGCUGGAUCCGCGCUGCAUUAGCUAGUUGGUAAGGUAACGGCUUACCAAGGCAACGAUGCAUAGCCGACCUGAGAGGGUGAUCGGCCACACUGGAACUGAGACACGGUCCAGACUCCUACGGGAGGCAGCAGUAGGGAAUCUUCCGCAAUGGGCGAAAGCCUGACGGAGCAACGCCGCGUGAGUGAUGAAGGUCUGCGGAUCGUAAAACUCUGUUAUUAGUGAAGAACAUAUGUGUAAGGAACUGUGCACAUCUUGACGGUACCUGAUCAGAAAGCCACGGCUAACUACGUG
rnacentral:rRNA from 1 species